ACGGUGCUGAAGUAACAAAUGCCCUGCUUCCAGGAAAAGCCUCUAAGCAUCAGGUAACAUCAAAUCGUACCCCAAACCGACACAGGUGGUCAGGUAGAGAAUACCAAGGCGCUUGAGAGAACUCGGGUGAAGGAACUAGGCAAAAUGGUGCCGUAACUUCGGGAGAAGGCACGCUGGUGUGUAGGUGAAGUCCCUGCGGAUGGAGCUGAGACCAGUCGAAGAUACCAGCUGGCUGCAACUGUUUAUUAAAAACACAGCACUGUGCAAACACGAAAGUGGACGUAUACGGUGUGACGCCUGCCCGGUGCCGGAAGGUUAAUUGAUGGGGUUAUCCGUAAGGAGAAGCUCUUGAUCGAAGCCCCGGUAAACGGCGGCCGUAACUAUAACGGUCCUAAGGUAGCGAAAUUCCUUGUCGGGUAAGUUCCGACCUGCACGAAUGGCGUAAUGAUGGCCAGGCUGUCUCCACCCGAGACUCAGUGAAAUUGAACUCGCUGUGAAGAUGCAGUGUACCCGCGGCAAGACGGAAAGACCCCGUGAACCUUUACUAUAGCUUGACACUGAACAUUGAGCCUUGAUGUGUAGGAUAGGUGGGAGGCUUUGAAGCGUGGACGCCAGUCUGCGUGGAGCCAACCUUGAAAUACCACCCUUUAAUGUUUGAUGUUCUAACGUUGGCCCCUUACCGGGGUUGCGGACAGUGUCUGGUGGGUAGUUUGACUGGGGCGGUCUCCUCCCAAAGCGUAACGGAGGAGCACGAAGGUUAGCUAAUCCUGGUCGGACAUCAGGAGGUUAGUGCAAUGGCAUAAGCUAGCUUGACUGCGAGCGUGACGGCGCGAGCAGGUGCGAAAGCAGGUCAUAGUGAUCCGGUGGUUCUGAAUGGAAGGGCCAUCGCUCAACGGAUAAAAGGUACUCCGGGGAUAACAGGCUGAUACCGCCCAAGAGUUCAUAUCGACGGCGGUGUUUGGCACCUCGAUGUCGGCUCAUCACAUCCUGGGGCUGAAGUAGGUCCCAAGGGUAUGGCUGUUCGCCAUUUAAAGUGGUACGCGAGCUGGGUUUAGAACGUCGUGAGACAGUUCGGUCCCUAUCUGCCGUGGGCGCUGGAGAAUUGAGGGGGGCUGCUCCUAGUACGAGAGGACCGGAGUGGACGCAUCACUGGUGUUCGGGUUGUCAUGCCAAUGGCACUGCCCGGUAGCUAAAUGCGGAAGAGAUAAGUGCUGAAAGCAUCUAAGCACGAAACUUGCCCCGAGAUGAGUUCUCCCUGAGACUUUAAGUCUCCUGAAGGAACGUUAAAGACGAUGACGUUGAUAGGCCGGGUGUGUAAGCGCAGCGAUGCGUUGAGCUAACCGGUACUAAUGAACCGUGAGGCUUAACCUUACAACGCCGAAG
rnacentral:rRNA from 1 species